CCUACGGGUCGCAGCAGUGGGGAAUAUUGGACAAUGGGCGAAAGCCUGAUCCAGCAAUGCCGCGUGUGUGAAGAAGGUCUUCGGAUUGUAAAGCACUUUCGACGGGGACGAUGAUGACGGUACCCGUAGAAGAAGCCCCGGCUAACUUCGUGCCAGCAGCCGCGGUAAGACGGGGGGGGCAAGUGUUCUUCGGAACGACUGGGCGUAAAGGGCACGUAGGCGGUGAAUCGGGUUGAAAGUGAAUGUCGCCAAAAACUGGCGGAAGACUCUCGAAACCAAUUCACUUGAGUGAGACAGAGGAGAGUGGAAUUUCGUGAGUAGGGGUGAAAUCCGGAGAUCUACGAAGGAACGCCAAAAGCGAAGGCAGCUCCCUGGGCCCCUACCGACGCUGGAGUGCGAAAGCAUGGGGAGCGAACGGGAUUAGAUACCCGGGUAGUC
rnacentral:rRNA from 1 species